rnacentral:rRNA from 1 species
UGCGUAGACGGUUAGAUAAGUCGGGUGUGAAAGCCCCGGGCUCAACCUGGGAAUUGCAUUCGAGACUGCCUAGCUAGGGUGCGGAAGAGGGAAGCGGAAUUUCCGGUGUAGCGGUGAAAUGCGUAGAUAUCGGAAGGAACACCAGUGGCGAAAGCGGCUUCCUGGUCCAGCACCGACGUUCAGGCACGAAAGCGUGGGGAGCAAACAGGAUUAGAUACCCUGGUAGUCCACGCCAUAAACGAUGAGAACUAGACGUUGAAGGGUAAGCCCUGCAGUGUCGUAGCUAACGCGCUAAGUUCUCCGCCUGGGGAGUACGGCCGCAAGGUUGAA